rnacentral:rRNA from 1 species
UACAGAGGUCCCGAGCGUUGUUCGGAUUUAUUGGGCGUAAAGGGUGCGUAGGUGGCAAAGUAAGUUGGAUGUGAAAUCCUGGGGCUCAACCUCAGAAUUGCAUUCAAUACUGCUUAGCUAGAGAGCUGUAGAGGAGACUGGAAUUUACGGUGUAGCAGUGAAAUGCGUAGAUAUCGUCUGGAACGCCGAAGGUGAAAACAGACUGCUGGGGAUGCGCUGACGCUGAGACACGAAAGCCAGGGGAGCGAACGGG